AACGAAUGCUGGCGGCAGGCCUUACACAUGCAAGUCGAACGUGAAAGUCCUUCGGGAUGAGUAAAGUGGCGCACGGGUGAGUAACGCGUGGGAACAUGCCCUUCAGUACGGGAUAACAGCGGGAAACUGCUGCUAAUACCGUAUAUUCCCUACGGGGGAAAGAUUUAUCGCUGUAGGAUUGGCCCGCGUUAGAUUAGCUAGUUGGUUAGGUAAAGGCUCACCAAUGCUACGAUCUAUAGCCGCUCUGAUAGCGCGAUCGGCCACACUGGAACGGAGACACGGUCCAGACUCCUACGUGAGCGAGCAGUGGGUAAAAUUGGACAAUGGGCGAAAGCCUGAUCCAGCCGUGCCGCGUGGGUGAUGAAGGCCUUAGGGUUGUAAAGCUCUUUUGGCGGGGAAGAUAAUGACGGUACCCGCAGAAUAAGCCCCGGCUAACUUCGUGCCAGCCGCCGCCGUAA
rnacentral:rRNA from 1 species